AGUUUGUGUCUGCAACAGAAACAUUUGCCAAUCACUUGUGGUUUUUCAAGAACCUGGGAGCUGCUUGCGAACCAUUUCUGGAGAUCCACUUAUGUUCACCUUCGUUAUCGGCAGAUAAAGGAGCUGACUUGAAAUAGAAGAAACCCUGCAAAUCCAAUGCUCCAAAGAUAAAAAGGAAUAGAACUCAGAGAACACCCUGUCCUGCCUGCCCCUGGAGAGACAGGAAGCAAAGCUGCGGUUUACCAAGUCCUGCUGGAGGGAGUAGAGAGUCGGCUUCCUCCUGGGCUCAGAGACUCCUGCAGAACUAUUUCCAGAACUUUCCUCAGCCCAGCUGCCUGCAUGCUACCAGUCCUCACAGUGGAAUUUGCUGUUCCUAUGACAACACUCCUGCUGGCUCCCUCCCCCAGCUCACCUACAUCCCUAUGACCUCAUGGAAAGGCACAUUCUCGGGCAUCCAGACCAGAUAAGGAGGGUUUUGCAGUCUCUCUGGAAGCAUGGUGGUUAAGAGCACAUGUUUUGGAGUCAACAUACCUGAAUACUGCUGUUUGGUCAAGCCAUUUAAUCUCUCAUUGUCUCAGUUUCCUCAUCUGAAAACGGGUCGAUUGAUUCCAGAAGUUGAAAACUAACCCACCACGCUUACAUAAUUGUGACUCUGUGGGUAUGGUUAUCUCAGUGUGGCAACGCUACAUUACGCACCCCGUGGGUCCACAGUCACAACGGAGAGGACCUUCGAAAAGGCGCGGAGGACAGCUGGUUGGGAAGGUGUUUGGUGCAUAGGAGGGCGCGGAACAUGAUGGGUUCCCACACUUGAGCAAAUGUGUCAUUUUUUGCGGAUUCCUCACAGUUAAAACAACAAUCAAAUAAGGGCAGAGAUCAUGGAGCCCACCAUCCUAAAGGAACUAGACUGUUGCCAAAAUGGGAAGGUCCCCUGUGAUCCACCCAAAUAAAAUCUUCCCACCAGCCAGCCUGCACGACCUCUAUAAUUAGCAAUUCGCUCCUUUGCAUUAAGCAAAGCCCUCAACGUGGUGUCAUCUAAUAUGCAAAUAUUUCUGGGAGGGCUGCCACACUAAGUGGCUGACAGCUAGGUGCCAUCCAGUCUUAUCAGAUAGCCGCUUUCCUGUGUGUCCGGAAGGGCGAGCCCGAGUUGGCUCUGAUAAGCAGGGCCCCAAGCAGAUGCUGUGGCCUGAGCCCGCCCUCCCUAGAAACCGGAGUGGGUGACGGCUGAGCUCCCCUCACGUUAUAGCUCCCACUCUCACCGGUGACCCAAGCAGCUCUCCCAGGCCUGGGAGGCUGGUGUCAGGUAGCAGUGGAGGAACCUGAGGUACCACCGUGGCUCCAGCUGUUCCACCUCCCAACCCAGGCCUGGGCCUCCACCUGCCCCGAGCCAGUGAGGGAAAGGAGGGGACAGAUAGAAAGAUAACCAGGGAAGAAGGCUGAGGCUCCCGGGUGGCUCCAGGGAAAACCUGAAGGGGUGUUGGAAAAGAAGUCAAGGGGAGGCCCUGCCCGUCUCAAAAUUCUGGGGUUGGCCUAAACUGAGGAACGCUCUUUCCACGCCCUGUUUUUCCGUCCUAGCUGGCGCAAGAAUGAUUUGCUUUGUGUCUGACUCCACCAUAUGCUGCAAGCUCCCUGAGGGCAGGGCCUGCCCCGUCUUGUCUCCACAUGUCUUAUCCCCAGCACACUACGCAGCGGGUUGUGUGUGUGCCCAGCCAACGUGUGCUGAUGGAAUGGAGCAUGAGCCCUAUGCUCUUUGGUUUGCAAAUGCCCUUCUCCCCAGCAGAUCUAGAACUUAUUUUUCACUGUCCUUGUGCAUCCGGGCAGUGUUAGCUCGUUACAUGUGGGUUGAAUCCAUUUGAAACGUUAAGAAUUAAAAAGUAAGGAUUGCCUCUUUGGCCAGUGCAAGGGUCUUCUGGGUUGCUUUAUGGCGUGCAUGUAGCAUAGUUUAUCAGACUUCUUGCAGCCCAACGUUGCCUAUUAAGAGAAGGAGUGACCCACCUGCCAGGAAAAGUGGCUUUUUGGUGUCCAUUUGACAGUAUUUACAAUAUUCUUAAAAAAAAAAAAAA